rnacentral:lncRNA from 1 species
AUAACCACAAAAUGACCACUCUGUUUCUGACGUGUAGGGAUCAGGUUCUGGUUGGUCAGUUUCUGUCUUGCCCACUAAAAUGAAAGACAAACAGACUUACCCUGGGCCUGUGAUGGGAGUAGCAGCCCUGAUGAUCUCUAAAAUGUCUGCGGGGAAUCGUUUUAUUUUAUUGAAAGAUAACUAUGUUCUCAACCUUCCUUCAUUGCAUUUGUGGCUUGCAGAAUGGCAGCUCUUACCAGAAACUGACCCUGUUGGGCCUUGAUCUGAAACUUCAAGCCUCCAGAAUGGGAAUACCUUGACACCCCCCUCAUCCUGAGAUGAAGUCUCACUCUGUUGCCCAGGCAGUUUUGCAGUGGCGUCAUCUUGGCUCACUGCAACCUCCACCUCCUGGUUCAAGUGAUUCUCCUGCCCCAGGCUCCCCAGUAGCUGGGAUCACAGACAUGACUGUGCUUAUAAGAAUGAGGAGGUUUUGCAAUUGGGGACAGGGACAUAAUGACCUCUCUGCCAUUGAUCAUCAAUAAGCCUUGACAAUCGUCCACGUAGGCAUGUGCUGGACACAGAUGCCAAGUCACGCUGCUCCACUAGCUUCUAGCCUCUGUUGUUGAUUGCUUUUCUUGGACCAUUUCCUUUAUUUAAUUGUGUCAAGUUACUUAAGUUAAAGAAGAUAUUUGCUGCUGUUGUGGGUGAAAUCAGCCCACUUGUCAAACAAAAUGUUUGUGAGAUUUUGGAGGAAGCAUCUCGGUGCUGCGGACCAAACACAACAAUGUUCACUGAUGGAGGAAAUCUUCAUUACUGAGUUACUGAUUCUGACCGAACUCAGUGGCUCAAUAAACAACUUUGCUAUCUCAGAAAAUCACCCUCUUUGCCAGCAAGAUGUUUGGAGUCAUUCCAAGAAAAAGAGAGAAAAAAAAAUUCUGGUCAAUGGAGAGACGGGACCACAUUGAAAGGUUAUGCAGGAAGCAUGGCCCAGGCAUCUGCUCAGCUUCUACAGUGGCCUCAGGGAGCCUCUACUCAUGGUGGACAGCAAAGCUGGAGCAGGCAUGUCACGUGGUAAAAGCAGGAGCAAGAGAGAAGAGAAGGAGGCGUCGCACUUGACAACAAUCAGAUCUCUCAAGAACUCACUCACUAUUGUGA